UUGUCUCUCUAUAUCUAAGCGAAACAACCCCCUAUUCUCCCUAACCCUUUCCUCAAAGCUUUUCUCCAUACCCACUUCCUGUAAGUUCUUUGCGGCCACACCUUCGUCUCCAGUUGUCACAAAACUUUCCCUUUCAUUAGAUUCAUAGUUGGAUGAUGAUUUAUCAACCGGUGUUGACGAACUACUGGAGCAGAAAUUUUCCUCUGAACUUAAACUCUUCGUGUGUAGUUUGUCGUUUAGUGUUGAUAACCAACUCUUGCUCUGUUGUUUGCACGCUCCGGAAAUGUGGAGGUCGUCGAGGAUCUUGAUGAUAGAAAUAUCAGAGUUAGUGUUGCUAUACCUCCACAAAGGCAACAAAUUUAAACAGUCUUGUGUAUAAACUAUACAGUGUUAAAAUUUGUGUGUGUUUUGAGGUUGAAUGACAUUUCAUUAAGUAGAUAAAUUCGAUUGGGGUGUUCAUGGUGAA